rnacentral:rRNA from 1 species
AACGAACGCUGGCGGCAUGCCUAACACAUGCAAGUCGAACGAGACCUUCGGGUCUAGUGGCGCACGGGUGCGUAACGCGUGGGAACCUGCCCUUAGGUUCGGAAUAACUCCCCGAAAGGGGUGCUAAUACCGGAUAAUGUCUUCGGACCAAAGAUUUAUCGCCUUUGUAUGGGCCCGCGUUGGAUUAGCUAGUUGGUAGGGUAAAAGCCUACCAAGGCGACGAUCCAUAGCUGGUCUGAGAGGAUGAUCAGCCACACUGGGACUGAGACACGGCCCAGACUCCUACGGGAGGCAGCAGUGGGGAAUAUUGGACAAUGGGCGAAAGCCUGAUCCAGCAAUGCCGCGUGAGUGAUGAAGGCCUUAGGGUUGUAAAGCUCUUUUAACCGGGAUGAUAAUGACAGUACCGGGAGAAUAAGCGCCGGCUAACUCCGUG